rnacentral:rRNA from 1 species
GAUGAACGCUGGCGGCGUGCCUAAUACAUGCAAGUCGAGCGAAUGGAUUAAGAGCUUGCUCUUAUGAAGUUAGCGGCGGACGGGUGAGUAACACGUGGGUAACCUGCCCAUAAGACUGGGAUAACUCCGGGAAACCGGGGCUAAUACCGGAUAACAUUUUGAACCGCAUGGUUCGAAAUUGAAAGGCGGCUUCGGCUGUCACUUAUGGAUGGACCCGCGUCGCGUUAGCUAGUUGGUGAGGUAACGGCUUACCAAGGCAACGAUGCGUAGCCGACCUGAGAGGGUGAUCGGCCACACUGGAACUGAGACACGGUCCAGACUCCUACGGGAGGCAGCAGUAGGGAAUCUUCCGCAAUGGGCGAAAGCCUGACGGAGCAACGCCGCGUGAGUGAUGAAGGUCUUCGGAUCGUAAAACUCUGUUAUUAGGGAAGAACAAGUGCUAGUUGAAUAAGCUGGCACCUUGACGGUACCUAACCAGAAAGCCACGGCUAACUACGUGCCAGCCGCCGCCGUAA